GGUCUCUUGGUGGUCAAAAGUACACAACUAUCCAGAUCUAGUGUGAGGACGGAGAGUGAAAGACUGGAAAAAGUGAUAAUUUGUUCAAAGCUGUCGCGAAAAAGUGAAUUCACGGACGAGAUUGUGGAAAAAUGAACGUGAUUCCAUUAGAUGAACCAAGUGAACCGAGGUGCAGUAAUCUCAGCGUGCCUCUGUUCGGAUUUGAAAACAUUGAACACUGCCUCAGAAAACAUUUAGCCUAUUUAUCGCGCAAGAUGAAUGCUGAACCUCUGCUUGAUGGGUGCAGUUACUGCAGGGUGACAGAGGAUGAUAUUCAGGCCAGCCUCAGAAACAUCUUUGAUAACUGUUUUGGUUGGGUCUUGGGUUUUGGGCAACGGCGGUCUUGUGACUCAGACAAACUACUGACUUUAUUUUCAGUGUCGAUUGCAAAGAAUGUAAACUCAGCCCUGAGUCGUAUCACAGGGUCCACAUCCUUGCAAUCAGAUAGGUCCAGAUCCCCAACAAACCUUGUUGGGAUGGUUUACAGUGUAGUCAACAUUUUAGAAGACUAUGCAAAGACCUUAGCUCCCCUUUCUGUAGAUGGUGAGAGUAGCAGCGACAGCAUUGUUGAAAUGCCAGACUCUGAGGAAGAUAACGACUUUAAACCAGAGUCUGUAGAGACUUUUAAAAGCACACAGACUCAAGCUUGUGUAGGCAAGGAACAUUUGGUUAACAAGGGCCACAGUGAUACAUUUCAAAUCAUUGAUGUCCAAAAUCUUGACAGUGAGAGCUCAGAGAGUGAUGAAAAAUGUAGUGAUGCCCUGCAGUGUUCGUCUGGGACACUUCCUACGCCUACAGAGAUCGAUACCUUUCUCAAUUUGUGUCUUGCAAAUUUAGUCAUUCACAUUUCUGAGAAAACACAAACAUUUGCUGUAAAGUUAAAUUGUCAGCAGAUAGUGACUGAUAUAAGAGGGAAGAUUGAGGGAGACUUGACUCCUCUAAAAACUGUAAAAAACUUGUACAUCAUAAUGUACAAAGACCUGUGUCGCAAAUUUGGAUCCAAAUACGUGCUUCCGUUUGUAAUGGAAAAGGCUGAUGCGACUUUUGUAGCAGCCGUUGUGGAGCUAUUAAAAGCAGAGCUCAAAAAAUCGGCCAGCCCCAGUAACGUGCUGAGAAGUUUAGAAAGUAACAAAAGCGUUUCUCCAGCCGGUAAGAACAAAACGCAACAAUCUGCUACUGAGCAAAAUGGAUCCACAGAUUCCCAGAAAAACAGGCCGAGAAACCGUAUCGUUAGGGCCCUCACUUCUUUUUUUAGAUCUUUGAGGACGCUAUUCAGUUGCUGCAUGAGCAGUGAGUCAGAAACAGAGUAAUUAUCUUCAUAAUUACUCAAUGCAUGCUCAGUGAUCCAGGUAAGUCAAUCCCAAG
ensembl:lncRNA